AAUUGCAGAAUCCCGUGAACCAUCGAGUCUUUGAACGCAAGUUGCGCCCGAAACCAUUAGGUCGAGGGCACGCCUGCCUGGGCGUCACGCAUCGAGUCGCCCCCCGGACUCCCCUCUCGGGGACGGGUCGGGGGCGCGAACGCUGGCCUCCCGUGCGCGACUAUUGCGCGGCUGGCCUAAACUUUACGGUUUCCUCGGCGACGCGUCGCGGGACGAGUUCUGGACGACUGCGUCCGACUCCGUGUCGCCGUGCGAAACUCCCAGGACCCUCGAAUUUCGUCUCCUUCUCGGGGGAGACGGGGCUCACCAAUGCGACCCCAGGUCAGGCGGGGCUACCCGCUGAGUUUA
rnacentral:rRNA from 1 species